rnacentral:ncRNA from 1 species
AUAAAGUUUUAUUCUGGCUUUGAAUUUAGUUAGUUAUUUCUUGUAUAUGUAAAUUUUUAUUUAAAUAGUUAUGUUAGGCAGUACAAAGUUUUAAGUUUUAAAUUAGUUUAGACUUAGAAAUAUAUUUUAGUAUAAACCAAACUUGUGCCAGCAGUUGCGGUUAUACAAGUUAUGCAAAUUAAAUUUAUUUGGAUCAGUUAAGAGUUAUUUUAUUAAUUUAAAUAUAAAUCUAUUAGGUGAAAUUUUAGAUUUUGAUUUGAUUAAUAAUGAAUAUAGGUUUUGAGGCUGGGAAAUUUUUUAACAAACUAGGAUUAGAUACCCUAUUAUAUAAAAUGUAAUUGGUUAACCAAAAUUAGUAUUAGUAUAUGUUCUUGAAAAUUAAAGAUUUUGGCGGUAUUUUAGUCAUUUCAGAGGAACCUGUUUUAUAAAUGAUACUCCACGAUUAAAUUAACCUUAGUUUUAAGUUUGUAUAUCGUCGUAGUUUGAAUAUUUUAUUAGAACGUUAAUGUUCAAGUAUUUUAAUUAAACUAGAAUUCAGAUCAAGGUGCAGUUUAUAUUAAGGUAAAAAUGGGUUACAUUAUUUUUAUAUUUGGUUUUAGCUUUAUAAAGGUUAAAUAAAUUGGAUUUGAAAGUAAUUUUUAUUAUAUAAUAGUAAUGAUUUUGCUCUAAGAUAUGCACAUAUCGCCCGUCGCUUUCGUUUAAGAUGAAAUAAGUCGUAACAAAGUAGGUUUAUUGGAAAAUGAGUCUGGAAUGAC